rnacentral:rRNA from 1 species
GCCUACGGGUGGCAGCAGUAGGGAAUAUUAGAAAUGGACGAAAGUCUGAUCUAGCAACACCGCGUGUGCGAAGAAGGCCUUCGGGUUGUAAAGCACUUUUUGGAAGGAUUAGGAAGGAAUGUACUUCCAGAAUAAGUCUCGGCUAACUACGUGCCAGCAGCCGCGGUAACACGUAGGAGGCAAACGUUAUCCGGAUUUACUGGGCGUAAAGCGCGUGUAGGUGGUUCUGUAAGUAGGGCGUGAAAGCUCCUGGCUCAACUGGGAGAGGCCGUUCUAAACUGCAGAGCUAGAGGAUGGUAGAGGGAGGUGGAAUUCCGGGUGUAGCGGUGGAAUGCGCAGAUAUCCGGAGGAACACCAGUGGCGAAAGCGGCCUCCUGGACCAUUCCUGACACUCAGACGCGAAAGCUAGGGUAGCAAACGGGAUUAGAUACCCGAGUAGUC